rnacentral:misc_RNA from 1 species
UUUUUUUGGAAAGCUCCUACUAAGAUGAGAAAUUCCCCAAUAAAGCUGCUAGUACCAGGUAAACUCAUAUUGGCCAAAGUAAAAAAGAAGAAAAUGGUAGAGAAAUUCGGCAUGGUGCUCACUAAACCUCCAUAAUAUCUAACAAGUCGAGUCUUAUGUCGGUCAUAUAGAACACCAACACAUAGAAAAAGGGCUGAAGAAACCAGUCCAUGACUUAACAUCAGUAGAAUGCUACCUCCAAUUCCCUGUAUGUUC